UGGGGAAUCUUGCACAAUGCGCGAAAGCGUGAUGCAGCAACGCCGCGUGGGGGAAGAAGGCCUUCGGGUUGUAAACCCCUUUCAGUUGGGACGAAGCUUCUGCGGUGAACAGCCGUACGGAGUGACGGUACCUUCAGAAGAAGCCCCGGCUAACUACGUGCCAGCAGCCGCGGUAAUACGUAGGGGGCAAGCGUUGUCCGGAAUUAUUGGGCGUAAAGCGCGUGUAGGCGGCUCGGUAAGUCUGCUGUGAAAGUCCAAGGCUCAACCUUGGAAAGCCGGUGGAUACUGUCGAGCUCGAGUCCGGAAGAGGCGAGUGGAAUUCCUGGUGUAGCGGUGAAAUGCGCAGAUAUCAGGAGGAACACCAAUGGCGAAGGCAGCUCGCUGGGACGGUACUGACGCUGAGACGCGAAAGCGUGGGGAGCAAAC
rnacentral:rRNA from 1 species